rfam:Takifugu rubripes chromosome, Chr_15
GUUUCCAUAGUGUAGUGGUUAUCACGUCUGCCUCACACGCAGAAGGUCCCCGUUUUGAAAACGGGUGGAAAAA